rnacentral:rRNA from 1 species
CGGGUGAGUAACACGUGGAUAACCUACCUAUAAGACUGGGAUAACUUCGGGAAACCGGAGCUAGUACCGGAUAAUAUAUUGAACCGCAUGGUUCAAUAGUGAAAGACGGUUUUGCUGUCACUUAUAGAUGGAUCCGCGCUGCAUUAGCUAGUUGGUAAGGUAACGGCUUACCAAGGCAACGAUGCGUAGCCGACCUGAGAGGGUGAUCGGCCACACUGGAACUGAGACACGGUCCAGACUCCUACGGGAGGCAGCAGAU